rnacentral:lncRNA from 1 species
CGACCCACUGUCUUUAUCAGUGCUGUAAUCUAUCAUGGGCUUGACAAUAGCGGGUCCCGUUAGAGCUGUAGGUGGUUUGUUUGAACGAAAAUCAGCAUUGAAACGUGGCCGAGAAUUCUGAUUCAGAGAACGUUGCGUUGUAGCGACCUCUGCCUUCCCUUUUCCUUUGUCCUUAGGUAGGCGAGCAUCUACCAUAUUUACUGUUGCCGUGGGAAAUGGGUCGGUAUCAACACUCAUC